rnacentral:rRNA from 1 species
GUAAGGCUAAAUACUCCCGAGAGACCGAUAGCGAACCAGUACCGUGAGGGAAAGGUGAAAAGCACUUCGAACAGAAGAGUGAAAUAGUACCUGAAACCGUGCGCCUACAAGCGGUCGGAGCACGAAAGUGUGACGGCGUGCCUUUUGCAUAAUGAACCUACGAGUUACCGUAUUUGGCAAGGUUAAGGGUCAUGAGGCCUGCAGCCGAAGCGAAAGCGAGUCUGAACAGGGCGUCAAGUCAGAUGCGGUAGACGCGAAACCAAGUGAUCUACCCUUGGCCAGGAUGAAGUCUGGGUAACACCAGAUGGAGGUCCGCACCAAUAAGCGUUGAAAAGCUUCUGGAUGAGCUGAGGGUAGGGGUGAAAGGCUAAUCAAACUUGGAGAUAGCUCGUACUCCCCGAAAUGCAUUUAGGUGCAGCCUUGCGGGUUACUGAUGUGAGGUAGAGCGACUGAUAAGAUGCGAGGGCUUCACCGCCUAUCAAGUCUUGACAAACUCCGAAUGCGCAUCAGUUCUACCGCAGGAGUGAGGGCAUGGGUGCUAAGGUCCGUGCCCGAGAGGAGAAGAAUCCGGACCACCUGCUAAGGUCCCGAAAUGACAGCUAAGUUAAACUAACGAAGUCUGACUGCUAAGACAGCUAGGAUGUUGGCUUGGAAGCAGCCAUUCAUUUAAAGAGUGCGUAACAGCUCACUAGUCGAGGAAUCGGGCGUGGAUAAUAAUCGGGUAUCAAGUUGUCUGCCGAAGCUAUAGAAUCAGCAAUGAUUGGUAGGGGAGCAUUCCAUUCGGCGUUGAAGGCGUGGCGUGAGCCAUUCUGGAGCGUAUGGAAAAGCAAAUGUAGGUAUAAGUAACGAUAAAGGGGGUGAGAAACCCCCUCGCCGAAAGACUAAGGUUUCCUGAUCAACGCUAAUCGGAUCAGGGUAAGUCGGGUCCUAAGGUUCAGCCGAACGGCGAGACCGAUGGCAGAAACGGUUAAUAUUCCGUUACUACCUUUGAGGGUGACGUGGGGACGCAGUAGUGACACCGCCGCCGGCUGACGGAAUAGCCGGUUAAAGAGUGUAGACGUCGAUUUCCGCAGGCAAAUCCACGGAAAGAGUCGAACUUGACAGUAUGGAACGUCCUUCGGGACAAUCCAAUAGUGCGGGUAAGCAGACUGCCUAGAAAAUCCGCUAAACAUAACUUCAGAGGUACCCGUACCGCAAACGGACACACGUAGUCGGGUUGAAUAUACUAAGGCGCUUGAGUGAAUCACGGUUAAGGAACUAGGCAAACUGACCCUGUAACUUCGGGAUAAAGGGUCCCUACCCUUUUAUGGGAGGGCGCAGAGAAUCGGUCCAGGCAACUGUUUAACAAAAACACAGGGCUGUGCCAAGUCGAAAGACGCUGUAUACAGCCUGACACCUGCCCGGUGCUGGAAGGUUAAGAGGAGAUGUCAUCGCAAGAGAAGCAUUGAAUUGAAGCCCCAGUAAACGGCGGCCGUAACUAUAACGGUCCUAAGGUAGCGAAAUUCCUUGUCGGGUAAGUUCCGACCUGCACGAAUGGUGUAAUGAUCUGGACGCUGUCUCAACCGUGAGCUCAGUGAAAUUGUAGUAUCGGUGAAGAUGCCGAUUACCCGCGAUGGGACGAAAAGACCCCGUGAACCUUUACUAUAGCUUAUCAUUGAAUCUGGGCACGUGAUGUGUAGGAUAGGUCGGAGGCUUUGAAGCAGGUACGCCAGUAUUUGUGGAGCCGCUGUUGAAAUACGACCCUUUAUUUGUUUGGAUUCUAACCCGUGGAACGGGGACAUUGAUUGGUGGGUAGUUUGACUGGGGUGGUCGCCUCCAAAAGCGUAACGGAGGCUUCUAAAGGUGCCCUCCGGCCGAUUGGUAACCGGCCUUAGAGUGUAAUGGCAUAAGGGCGCUUGACUGGGAGACUGACAAGUCGAUCAGGUAGGAAACUAGAGCAUAGUGAUCCGGUGUUUCCGUAUGGAAGGGACAUCGCUCAAAGGAUAAAAGGUACUCCGGGGAUAACAGGCUGAUCCCUCCCAAGAGCUCAUAUCGACGGAGUGGUUUGGCACCUCGAUGUCGGCUCGUCACAUCCUGGGGCUGGAGAAGGUCCCAAGGGUUGGGCUGUUCGCCCAUUAAAGUGGCACGCGAGCUGGGUUCAGAACGUCGUGAGACAGUUCGGUCUCUAUCUAUCGUGGGCGUAUGAAAUUUGCGUGGCUCUGACACUAGUACGAGAGGACCGUGUUGGAC